UUAAGUCUGUAGAAUAAGGACAAGUGGUCAGCCUCAGGCUUAGCUUCGGGGUAAGGGUAUGCCCCGGGCUUAGGGUAAGGAUCUGCAACGAGGUAAAGCUAUACCUCUGCGUCAGGGUAUGCCACGGGGUAAAAGGUCGGCCACAGGCUAAGGGUAAGACAGUACGAUCGUAGCUAAACCAAAGAGCAUCGUCUGAACAAAUGACAAGAGAGGGAUAUCUAGUUCACAAGCUGGCAAUAGAUAUCCCAGAUAAAUUGUCUAAUAAUUCACACUUUCCAUAAAUUCUAAACUUUCGCACUUACAUAUUCCCCAUAUUCGAUGUAAAAUCCGACACCCUCGUUUUCCACGAGGAAAAUUCACAUAUUUACCUUUGGCAAAAUACCACUAACAGCAUGUAUAACGCUCCGCUAUUACUAUGCUUGGUGGUGAGGAUAUUAGCCCGAGGGAGAGCCCUCCCUCACCCCGGGUAGGGGGAGUCUUGCAGCGAAUAUAAGAAGGUCCAGAGCCAGUUUGCUUCAGAUCGCACCUCACCUGCCCGCGACAACAUUCUGCCUGCGCCACCAUGAAGCUGACUGUCCUCUUUGGCGUGGUUAUGGCCCUGUAUGGCCUUGGUUCGGCUCGUGCCAUGCCCAACCCUAUGGCCGACCCCUUAUCCCGUGGCAGACCCUUAUCCCGUGGCAGACCCUUAUCCCGUGGCAGACCCUUAUCCCGUGGCAGACCCUUAUCCCGUGGCAGACCCUAUUGAGCCUAAGAAUCUACAUUCGAAAGAUUGUAUUUGUAUUUUAGUUUGUAUAGGAUGUUAAAAUGGUAAUUUGUCAAUGCUAUAGUUAAAAAACGACUUAAGUCUAUGACUUAUACAAAUUAAAUCAAAUAGUGGACAGGAGAUACAUGUAAAGACAAAACAGAUAUCCAUAUAUGGAACAUCAGCAAGAGCAAUAAAGUAUAAAUCAACCUUGGAAAUCUAUACAAACUUGGAAAUUCUCGUUGCAAAUGAUACGAAAAGGAAGCAGAAAUACUCACUGAAUUAAACUGCAACAAUAAACCUAUUUGGGAAAAA